rnacentral:rRNA from 1 species
AUUCCAGCUCCACAAGUGUAUUCCUAUAUUGUUGCGGUUAAAAAGCUCGUAGUUGGAUCAGAGUGCUUAGCGGGUGGUACAGUGUUUCACUGUCACUGCUUCGCGGCACAUAACCGUCGACUGGCUGCUGUUGUUGCCUUCACCGGUGACGGCAGUUAGCUAUUGACAUGUUUACUUUGAACAAAUCAGAGUGCUCAAAACAGGCGUUUCGCUUGUAUGUUUUUGCAUGGAAUAAUAGAAUAGGACCUUGGGUCUAUUUUGUUGGUUUUCGGAAUCAAGGUAAUGAUUAAGAGGGACAGACGGGGGCAUUCGUACUGCAACGGGAGAGGUGAAAUUCUUGGAUCGUUGCAAGACGAACUACUGCGAAAGCAUUUGCCAAGAAUGUUUUCAUUAAUCAAGAACGAAAGUAACGGGUAAAGGCGAUCAGAUACCGCCCUAGUCGUUACCGUAAACGAUUGUAACCGGGAGCUAGCAGGCGCUUUACUAUGGCUCUGCUAGAACCCACCCGGAAACGAAGAGUUUUCGAUAUCCGGGGGAAGUAUACUUGCAAAUGUGAAACUUAAAGGAAUUGACGGAAGGGCACCACCAGGGGUGGAGCCUGCGGCUUAAUUUGACCCAACACGGGGAAACUCAUCCGGUCCGGACACCGUAAGGAUUGACAGAUUGAGAGCUCUUUCUUGAUUUGGUGGGCAGUGGUGCAUGGCCGUUCUUAGUUGGUGGAGUGAUUUGUCUGGUUUAUUCCGAUAACGAACGAGACUCUAGCCUACUAACUAGUUAUGCGAUCUUCUUGUCGUAUUAACUUCUUAGAGGGACAAGCGGUGCUCAGCCGCAUGAAAAAGAGCAAUAACAGGUCUGUGAUGCCCUUCGAUGUUCGGAGCUGCACGCGCGCUACACUGUAGAAUGCAACGUGCUAGCUUGCCUCGCUCGCAAGAGUGGGGUAAUCGGUUGAAAUUUCUACGUGAUUGGGAUAGGGACUUGUAAUUAUUUCCCUUGAACGAGGAAUCCCUAGUAAGUGCAGGUCAUCAGCUUGUGCUGAUUACGUCCCUGCCCUUUGUACACACCGCCCGUCGCUGCCCGGAACUGAGCCAUUUCGAGAAAAAUGGGGACUGAUUGCUUGUGAGCACGCAAGUGCUUCUUGCAGUCGGAAACCAUCU